UGUUUGCUGUAAAAAAAUAAUCAUAGACAUUCGGCUCACAGACAAAGAGAUAUUUGUGCAGAGAAAGACAACGCAACACAGAGGGGCGAUGUCAACAUCCUCCAGGAGGAAAGGGUAAGAGAGUGUGUAGCAAGAGGGGCUGGCGACCAAACACCACGAGCUCUCAAGCCAGAGAAAGUUGAGUGACAUUUCCCGAGGCCCACGCGAGAAGCACAACACCCCGGCAAACCAGUGGGCUCGAGAGCCAGAGAGGGACAGAAGGGCAACCUUGUCGGCGGGUGUGUGAAGAAAGGGAAGCAUUCUUUCCUGCAUUGGACUCUGCUGUCUUUCCUCCACCUUAUGCCAGAGUGUAUAGGAGUAUUGUAUCUUUUGUCUCAGCUCCUUCGGCAGAAGUCCCCCGUGCUCAUGGGUUUUGACAUUUAAAACGAACUAAGGAAUAUUUAGGGCAUGGAGAAAACCUCUGAAACUCUCCAGAGUACGAUUUUUUUUUUUUUUUUCUGAAGAAGUGAGCAAGUUGGCUGGAGAGCCGUUUAUUGGGUUGUUGAGGGUGAUACAUCUUGUCCCCAAGAGAGAAUUAGAGAGGCAGCAGAGAUAUUUGGACCAGGGGGAGUACCCUUCUUGUCACCUCCCUUCGAGGAGCCUACCUUGGAAAUACCAUGAGGAGCUGUGUGAAGGGACAUUUGCUUGGGGAACCUAAGAUUUCUAGCGGGAUCAUGGCUUCCAUCAGUGGGGCAAGAAACCCCCCUGCCACACAGUUGUGCUCUCUGGAAACUCUCAAAUUUCAUUGAAUUCCGAUCUAUUCAGCAAGUGUUUACUGGGAACCGUGCUCAGGGAACAGAGAGGAAAACAUCAUUUUCAUUUCCAGGCAGCUCGUAAUUAAGCUGCCAAGGGACAAGACUUACUGAUGCGUCACGCAGUUAGAGGACCAUGUAAAGUAGGGCGUGAGCGAACACAUCAUGGGGCGAGAGCCCUGGGGGCUGGCAAGGUCCCCCGUGCAACGUCGUCGCUGCGGCCACUGCCUCUCCUCUCCUCCACAGUGGGUGUCAUUGGAUUAAAGAGAUGACUGUGGUGACAAGUUUGCGUACGAAGACUCUAAAAACCGUGCCAAUGACGGAAUAUAAAGCUGAAGGGACUCACCCUCUUUGGAUGAGUGACAUGAGCAUACACGGUGUUCCCCGAAGAGAUGGAGACAUACUCUAAGUUAUUCACGUUCUCUGCU